UACGGAGGAUGCAAGCGUUAUCCGGAUUUAUUGGGUUUAAAGGGUGCGUAGGCGGAUGCCUAAGCGUGAGGUGAAAUGCCACUGCUCAACAGUGGAACUGCCUCGCGAACUGGGUGUCUUGAAUGCCCCUGCCGUGGGAGGAAUGUGUGGUGUAGCGGUGAAAUGCAUAGAGAUCACACAGAACACCGAUUGCGAAGGCAUCUCACGAAGGGGUGAUUGACGCUCAUGCUCGAAGGUGCGUGUAUCAAAC
rnacentral:rRNA from 1 species